rnacentral:rRNA from 1 species
UACGUAGGGGGCGAGCGUUGUCCGGAUUUAUUGGGCGUAAAGAGCGUGUAGGCGGUUCGGUAAGUCUGUCGUGAAAUCCUGAGGCUCAACCUCGGGCGUGCGAUGGAUACUGCCGGGCUAGAGGAUGGUAGAGGCGAGUGGAAUUCCCGGUGUAGCGGUGAAAUGCGUAGAGAUCGGCAGGAACACCCAAGGAGAAAUCAGCGGACUGGCUCGGAGCUGACACUGAGGUGCGAAAGCGUGGGGAGCGAACGGG